GGUUCGAUGGCGUAGUUGGUUAUCGCAUCUGUCUAACAUUGAUACGCAAUCAAAUAAUGUGGGCACAGAAGGUCCCCGGUUCGAGCCCGGGUCGAAUCA